AUGAGACUGUCACUGCGACAGUCUCGUGCAGUGUCGGUAAGAAUUCAGCGACUGGAGGGAGGCUAAGGAUGGCAGAGAGCAUGUUCGCUUCAUUCUCCACGACGGACCCAAGGGACGAGAUGAGGGUGUCCUGAAAAGGUAUUACUACUGCCACCGCUCUGGAUCAUUUCAGAGCAAGAGGUAAAUGACAACUGAGAACCCAGGGCACUUGUAAGACUAAUGUGCAAUGCUUAGCCACAAUUCAAGCUACAGAGAAAGAUGGCAAGGUGACAGUAGAGUACCAGGCAGAACACUACGGCCACCCGAAGGAACUGAAGCACCAGCGCCUCUUUACGACUGAGAAGGAGGCUUUAGCUGAUAAACUAAAGCAAGGCAUCCCCGCCCGUAAAGAUCUGGUAGACGCACAUUCUUCUGCUGGCAGUGAGAUGGGCAGGCUACAUUUGCUCUCAAUGAAAGACAUUGGCAACAUCUCCGCCAACCAUGAAAUUUUGACGAAAGAGCUACGGCACUGAACAAAGUCAGAUUCCCCAGUCCUGUACUGACAUGGAGGAAGGAAAACAAAAAGAGAGCUUUGAGCUUGCCCUGAUGACUGUCCCUCAGAAAGAACGCCUCACAAAGCUUGGCCCCAAGUUUCUGUGCAUUGACUACACUCAUAAUAUAAAUGGCCACAAUCUGCAACUGAAGACUCAUGACAGCUGCAGAAGAUCAGUCAGGCAUGCCAUGCACAUAUUUGAUCUCAAAGUAACUAGACACCAAGGCUAUGAAACACUCCUUAAGGCCAUAAAGGUAAUGCAUGGGAGGAAGUGAUGGGCUGUGCCCAACAUUGGAUGCUCUGCUCGUGGCAUGUAAGCCACGACUGGGCUCUGAAGUUGCAGUCAGUCCAAGAUAUAAGCAAACCCGUGACCGUCUUUGCGACGAGUUGUGGGCGCUGAGAAAUUGCAAAGAUGAGGGUCAAUUCCAACGACCUCCGACAGGCUUCCCGUGUCAGAAACUAAGUGAAGAGGCUGAUCCAAAACUAAUUCAACAAGUACAGGAGUUUCUUCAGUACUUUGGGCACUACCAUGGUGGCAGAGCCUAACAGUGGGCGCUCUGCUUCAGAAAGGGCAUUCCUUUUAAUACUACCAACCACUUGGAGGCAAUGUACAAGGACCUGAAGUCACGCUAAUGCAUGGAACUCACAACCAGAGGCUUGACAAGCUGUUGAUGAUCCUCUUCGAACUGAGCCGUGACCGGCUCUACAAGCGUCCCAAGUCGCUCGUAAAAGGAAAAACGAAUCGGCAUGAUGCAGCCCUUUUUCGGAGGCACCAGGAGGGGAUGAAAAUUCCAGCAUCAGAUGUAGAACAGCUGCAAAAUGGCAAUGGCUGACUUGUAAAGUCUCAGUCCCAGACAGAGAGAAGCUACCAUGUUGAGAAGGGCGACCCCCGCCAGAGUUGCGUGCUUCGUUGCAGGGACUGUGAUAUCUUUAUCGACAGUUACAAGUGCACUUGCAAUGACAGCCUGAUUUCAUCAUCAAUGUGCAAGCAUAUUCACGCAGUAGCUUACCUGGGGAUUCAUGUGACGACCGUGGAGGAGGCCGACACUGAGCCAGGUGUAGAAAUGCCAUCAACAACACGUGAAGCAACAGGCUUUACGUUAGAUGAUGAGCCACAGUCCCUCUUGGAUGACAUUCGGCAGGGUAUUGAGGUAGGGAUGGAGAAGACUCAACCAAAUUCAAAGGACAACAUAUGUUUAACAAUAAGUGGACUGAACAAGUCCCUCUCCAGGAAGAAAUUGACAAGCUCUUCAAGCUCCCUGGUGUUGAAAUACCGUACCAAGGCCCAAGAAGUACUUGACUCUGUUCCAGAUGAGACUUCUCCAAAACCUAGGGUAAUCCCUCACAAAAAAAAGAUGGAAAAACAACCACGGUACUUUCCCCCCCAAAAGACGCCCUGGUUCUGGUCCCAUGCAUGGCAAACCUCCCACCAGCUUGGAGCAGCAGCACAUCAUGCAGGGCCUUGUAGCCAGAGGGAGUGACCACUGGCGACCACAAGCAUGAGGAUCUGCUACAGGAAGCAUAAUCAUGUACCUGGACCUCGAGACCGGUGGCCUUGGAGAUGUCAGCAAGGCUACGGGGUGAUUUGCUCAACGCGAGGCUGUGCAAUUUAGUGGCAUGGAACUAGUGCCUCAUUUCGGAGAUCUCCAUGGCGAGUGAACAGUGUAAGGCUGGUGGGGCAAGAAGUUUAUUGGAAGGUUUUGUCAUGCCAUGGUGAUCAACAUUCAUGACAGGUUCAUCUGCCGAACUAGCUAUGCAAUAGAGGCAAGCCUGCUAAGUCACUGGGAUUAGUCGUCAGUGUGUGGCGCAGAGGACUUCUAGGGACAAGUCCAGGAGACGAACAUGCAAUAUUUAUAUUCUGUCUAUAUUUUGGUGAACCAAUGUUACUGUUGACAUUUAAGUGUGGGACAU